rnacentral:tRNA from 1 species
GCCUAAGUGACUGUAUUUAUUUAACUAUUUGAUUUUAAAGGCUGGGUGCAGGCAUUUAAAAUCCCUCGACGUUCACGUCGUGCCGGUUCGAUUCCGGCCUCGGGCACCA